GACGAACGCUGGCGGCGUGCUUAACACAUGCAAGUCGAACGGAAAGGCCCUGCUUUUGUGGGGUGCUCGAGUGGCGAACGGGUGAGUAACACGUGAGUAACCUGCCCUUGACUUUGGGAUAACUUCAGGAAACUGGGGCUAAUACCGGAUAGGAGCUCCUGCUACAUGGUGGGGGUUGGAAAGUUUCGGCGGUUGGGGAUGGACUCGCGGCUUAUCAGCUUGUUGGUGGGGUAGUGGCUUACCAAGGCUUUGACGGGUAGCCGGCCUGAGAGGGUGACCGGCCACAUUGGGACUGAGAUACGGCCCAGACUCGUACGGGAGGCAGCAGUGGGGAAUAUUGCACAAUGGGCGGAAGCCUGAUGCAGCAACGCCGCGUGCGGGAUGACGGCCUUCGGGUUGUAAACCGCUUUCGCCUGUGACGAAGCGUGAGUGACGGUAAUGGGUAAAGAAGCACCGGCUAACUACGUG
rnacentral:rRNA from 1 species